GACGAGCGUUUAGGUGACGAAGAGCGUCACAACAAAAACAACGAAAAAUAAUACCUCCAGGAAAUAAUAUUACCUUAAGCAUAUUAAAUAUUUUCGGAUUAUAAGUAAUGAAGUUUAGUCGUAAGGUACGUAAAAUGGAUUGCUAAUUAGUUUAUUUGUAUAUGUUUAAGGUUCACAUAUUGUCGGCAUACUGUUUCCUUCCUGUAAAGGAGAGAGAUGAGAACACUGAGUUGUAGCUUGUAAGAGGAAUUCGAUACCAAAUAUUGGAUAAUAUUUUUCACUUUCACAUAGAAAAAUGGACCAAAACACAAUCGGCUGCAUAAUUUGGUCUCAGAAACACAGACCACGUCGACAAGGAUUGUACGUAGACCAACUGGGAUGAUGUGGUAAGGUCAAAAGUGGUUGAUUUCUAAAAAUUGAUGUCGGAUUUAUUUGUUUGUUUCAAAUGAGUUUUGUAGUAGGCUUUGUAUUCAAUUUUAACUUUUAUUAUGAACGGAUGUAACAGCUGGUUCAUUUCCUGGGUCCUGUAAUAAAGUAACAAUAAUGAUAAUAAUAAUGAAAUAAAAGUUACUGCUAGAACUAGGAUUUAAAAGAAAAUAAAUAGCAAUUGAUGUUUGACUUCCAUUCUACCCCACAAAAAAUCCAAACUCCCGAAAAUGUUUUUCCUGAACUCUAUCAUCUACAGUUAACGUUGUGGAUUCCGGGGUUAUUGGAGUAUAAUCGAUAGUUUUUAAUUCAAAUCUAAAAAGAUUUUCAAGUUAACUCGGCAUUUCAUAUUUUUCGUAUUACGAUAUGUUUAGCUGUUUUUUUUUUCUUUUUUUUUUGUUAAAUAAAGUUUGUCUUUUAUUAUUGUUCUACCGUGUAUACGACUGUAAGUGUAGUUUAGCACUAAUUGAGGAGUCUUGUUUCUUCAAAAACUUAUUUUUACACA